rnacentral:rRNA from 1 species
GACGAACGCUGGCGGCGUGCUUAACACAUGCAAGUCGAACGGAAAGGCCCUGCAUUUGUGGGGUGCUCGAGUGGCGAACGGGUGAGUAACACGUGAGUAACCUGCCCUUGACUUUGGGAUAACUUCAGGAAACUGGGGCUAAUACCGGAUAGGAGCUCCUGCUGCAUGGUGGGGGUUGGAAAGUUUCGGUGGUUGGGGAUGGACUCGCGGCUUAUCAGCUUGUUGGUGGGGUAGUGGCUUACCAAGGCUUUGACGGGUAGCCGGCCUGAGAGGGUGACCGGCCACAUUGGGACUGAGAUACGGCCCAGACUCCUACGGGAGGCAGCAGUGGGGAAUAUUGCACAAUGGGCGGAAGCCUGAUGCAGCAACGCCGCGUGCUGGAUGACGGCCUUCGGGUUGUAAACCGCUUUCGCCUGUGACGAAGCGUGAGUGACGGUAAUGGGUAAAGAAGCACCGGCUAACUACGUG